AACAAGGUUUCCGUGGGGAACAAGCGGAGGGGUCAUU
rnacentral:rRNA from 1 species